CAAGUCUCGCGAAUUACCCUGCGCCUUUAAACACUCGAGUGGACGCCUGCAAUCUUGAGCGCGUAAGGAAAUUCUACGUAUCAGAUCCUUCCCUGGGCCAAGCUAUGUAUUUCUUUUUUUUUGUAAACCAUAUCGAACUGAAUUUCACUAAUUGUUCCCUAGUACGCAUUGCAGGCGUUGCUUGUUAUGAAAAAUAUAGUACAAUAUCAAUGGCGCAUGCAGUUGUGCAGAAGAUGAAUGCACAUACGCAAUCGUGCAUCGUGCAUUGUCCUGUCCUAUGCGCCGCUUUGCCUUUCUUAAGCGAAGUAGCAGGUGGGAAGGAACAGCAUGUGGCAACACUGGUCGCAUAACAGUGCACGUUAGCGCCAUACUCACUGCUAAUAUAAUCGCCUACCAAAGCGAACUGAAAAUUCUGCCCAAGGAGACAAGAAAGACGUUAUACCGAAAAGAUGUACGUGUGAGAACGCAAACAAGUUCUACAGUUUCAAGAGAAAAAAAGUUAAAUGAUCUCUAUAAAAAAGCCAUUCAUAUUACCGAGAUGAACAUUUUUGUAGUAGCUGCUCUUCAACUGGUUGCUGUAACGUCUGCAGCAAAUCUUCAGGAUCUAAUCAACGCCUUGAAUACGAAUGAACGGACCUGGAUAUAUCAGCGCAGUUACGUUGAAUAUAAGGGCAGUGAAUACGUCACAUGCGCAUAUUACCGAAAACUUGAACUAAACCAGACUAAUUACGAGUUCUUCAAGGACUUCAUGUUAUGUUCGCAAGCGCACCAACGCCAUCUUUAUGCUGAAUUGGGUGAUGAUGGCAGAGAUGGACCGUACAUGGGUGUAAGUACCUGGCCAGGAGCCGAGGUGACCUCAUACACGUUGAGGUAUUGGAACGCCACCGAAGCCUGCGCUGUGUACACAUUGGACAAGUACAGUAUCCAUUGGCCAUCAUUUACGUUUUCUGGUCGGAAUACAUCCAUCUGUCACGAUUUGUUGAACAUUUCCUUGUUCUUCGAUCUGAAGCAAACUGUUAACGAAGCAACAAGAGUUCCUAAAUACGACAGAAAGGAUUUGGGUAGUGUUGCGGAGCACAUAUCUUGGUGAAUGGAACAAACAACUGAUGUGCCUCAGUACCACUAUGACUUUGUUGACAAGAGAUGCAUAUGAAUAUGAGUAUUGCUACAGAAAGGAUGAAAUCAGGCAAUGCGAAAAUCAAAGUGCCAUUCUCAGGUCUGACACCAAGCAUCCCCAGAUGGUUGUCAAAGGACAAGGAGGGACUCCUGGCGUAACCUACAGGCUGAAGUACUUUCACACGAAUUAUUGGUGCGCAAUUUUCGGUUUCCGAGCAGACGGAAAGGAAGAAUGUGAAAUGCGUGUUCAAGACCACACUGUGAACGAAACGAGUGGAGCUGUCACGAACGAUUGUGAAAAAGCUUACGACGAGUGCAAAGUCAAAAAAUACAAGUACUACGAUGAUACAUGCAAGACCCGUACCGCUUAGCAAGCGUUAUUUUCAAACCACGCUUUUUUGUUACUGAAUAAAGCGUUUAGUAAUGAUUA